rfam:Macrostomum lignano uti_cns_0004174, whole genome shotgun sequence.
AAAACGGCCCUUUUGAGGGCCAUAUUGAUAAAAAUUAAGAUUUUA